rnacentral:tRNA from 1 species
GAGAGUAUAGCUCAAGUGGUAGAGCACAUGCUUAGCAUGCAUAAGGGCCUGGGUUCAAUCCCCAGCACCUCCU